UACGUAGGGUGCAAGCGUUGUCCGGAAUUAUUGGGCGUAAAGAGCUCGUAGGCGGUUUGUCGCGUCUGCUGUGAAAACUCGGGGCUCAACUCCGAGCUUGCAGUGGGUACGGGCAGACUAGAGUGCGGUAGGGGAGACUGGAAUUCCUGGUGUAGCGGUGGAAUGCGUAGAUAUCGGGAGGAACACCAGUGGCGAAGGCGACUACCUGGCCUGUUCUUGACGCUGAGGCGCGAAAGCUAGGGGAGCAAACGGG
rnacentral:rRNA from 1 species